UAGGGAAUCUUCGGCAAUGGACGAAAGCCUGACCGAGCAACGCCGCGUGAGUGAAGAAGGUUUUCGGAUCGUAAAACUCUGUUGUUAGAGAAGAACAAGGACGUUAGUAACUGAACGUCCCCUGGCGGUAUCUAACCAGAAAGCCACGGCUAACUACGUGCCAGCAGCCGCGGUAAUACGUAGGUGGCAAGCGUUGUCCGGAUUUUUUGGGCGUAAAGCGAGCGCAGGCGGUUUCUUAAGUCUGAUGUGAAAGCCCCCGGCUCAACCGGGGAGGGUCAUUGGAAACUGGGAGACUUGAGUGCAGAAGAGGGGGGUGGAAUUCCAUGUGUAGCGGUGAAAUGCGUAGAUAUAUGGAAGAACACCGGUGGCGAAGGCGGCUCUCUGGUCUGUAACUGACGCUGAGGCACGAAAGCGUGGGGAGCAAACAGG
rnacentral:rRNA from 1 species